CCUCAGCCUCCCAAGUAGCUGGGAUUACAGUCAUGCACCAGUACUCCCAGCUAAUUUUUGUAUUUUUAGUAGAGACGGGGUUUCACCAUGUUGGACAGUGGCUGUGUAUCAUCUACGGUUCCAAGCCCUUCUGUGGCUCUGACUCCUGACAGACAACCCUCACCUCCAUGGGGCGAGCUCUCACGGGCAGCCCUGCCAUGGUUCUAGCUGCUGCCACCAACACUGGCUUCUGGGCAUCACCUCCUCAACCUUGGAAUAAGAAGCUUCCUGCUGGUGCUAACCUGUGUUCCUCACUAUCCCCUGUUCAGCUUUUCAUCCUUCCAUCAUCUAUUUCCGCAGAACUGAGUUGUGUGCCAAGCUGGGCUGCUUCCUGCUAUGUGACCUGACAAGCCACUCAUCCUCUCUGACUCUGGAGAACAGGGAUGAUCAAGCCCAGGCCAGAGUGUUGGAAGGAUCUUUGAGUGACUCCCACUCCCCUGCACUCCACUGAGGCAGCAAUUGUGACUAUCGUUACUGUGAUCUCUAAGUGGAUGAGGAAGUAGACCUUGGGGUCCUUGAAGGUGUGCACUGAAUCUCCAGGACUCAGCCUAGUGUAUAUUUUUGUGGAGUGAAAUAAAUGAACAUUUGUGAGCUGA